GUUAGCGGUCGGGGGGCACAAGGGCAGCAGUCUCCUCUCCCCACCAAGCCCUGGUCCAGAUGACCAGGGCUGUCGCAGUAGCCUAUUGGGUCUCCCUUCCUCCAGUUCAGCGCCAGCCCCCAGUCCCUCCUCCACUUGACAGCCAGACCUCCCUAUAAAAAUGCAAAUCAGUCAGUACCCCCUUGCUCACAACUCUCUGCCUUCCCACUGUCCUGAGAAGAAAAGCUGGUCUCCUGGGCCUGACCCAUGGGACAGCAUUAUCUUCUUAACCUCACCUCCUUGCUAAGGGCUGCCCCAUGUUCCUCAAAUACCCUAAGCAUAUCUGGCCACAGGGCCUUUGCACUAGCUGUUCCCUGUACAGAGUUUGCUUGUCAAUGAGGCCCCUCUGCAAUCCCGUGUCCUCUCUCCCUGCUUCCUUCCUUCAGAGCGUUCAUCAUCCCUGAGUACUUAUCAUGCCUCUUGUUUAACUUUUUCCACCCAGGGGCAUGUGAGCUCCAGCGGGUAGGGCAUCCGGUCUGCCCCUUUCACCAUCCUUGUCCCUGCACCUAGAACAGGGCUUUGAAUUACCAGCACGUCCCCACCCCUACUCUGCCCUGAGGAGAGGCUGUUCCCAGAAUCCCUGUCACCCCUCAGGCAGGAGGUCUG